UACGUAGGUGGCAAGCGUUGUCCGGAUUGACUGGGCGUAAAGCGCACGCAGGCGGAUGCGCGCGUGGGGUGUGAAAUCUGGCCGCUUAACGGCCAGGCGCCAUCCCAUACGGCGCGUCUGGAGUGAUGCAGAGGUCGAUGGAAUUGCCGGUGUAGUGGUGAAAUGCGUAGAGAUCGGGACAGGGAAACACCCCAGGGGGGAAACCAUCGAAC
rnacentral:rRNA from 1 species